ACGAACGCUGGCGGCAUGCCUAACACAUGCAAGUCGAACGAUCCCUUCGGGGAUAGUGGCGCACGGGUGCGUAACGCGUGGGAACCUGCCCUUAGGUUCGGAAUAACAGUUAGAAAUGACUGCUAAUACCGGAUAAUGUCUUCGGACCAAAGAUUUAUCGCCUUAGGAUGGGCCCGCGUUGGAUUAGCUAGUUGGUGGGGUAAAGGCUCACCAAGGCGACGAUCCAUAGCUGGUCUGAGAGGAUGAUCAGCCACACUGGGACUGAGACACGGCCCAGACUCCUACGGGAGGCAGCAGUGGGGAAUAUUGGACAAUGGGCGAAAGCCUGAUCCAGCAAUGCCGCGUGAGUGAUGAAGGCCUUCGGGUUGUAAAGCUCUUUUACUGGGGAUGAUAAUGACAGUACCCAGAGAAUAAGCUCCGGCUAACUCCGU
rnacentral:rRNA from 1 species